GUGGCUGAGUGGUAGAGCGCUUGGCUUCCAAACCAAGGGGUAUCGGGUUUGAAUCCCGGC
rnacentral:tRNA from 1 species